UCAACCCGUGUGUUUUUUCCUGUCAGUUUAACUUCUCCAAACUUUUGUUUAACAAUAACCAGAAAUUCUCAGAAAUAGGAUAGUGCAAAGCUGCUCUUCCUUGUCACCACCCUGUCAUCUCUCUGGAAUUCCUGUAACAAUGCAAAUGGUAGCUCUUAGCAGAGGCCAGAAGUUGGGGUGCGGGGGUGGGGGGGUGGAAGGAUUCCUCCAUUUCUUUGUCAGCCCUCCUGAGUCUAUUACUUGACAUUAUUAAUUUAUCUAUUCCUCUUUAUGAGUGACAUUUCCUAAGUUUUUUUCCAACAGGGUUUGUUUCGUACCCAGUGGAAACUUAAAACCAAAAAAGAAGUUGCCUGGCUGACAACUGUUGCCUUUGUUGGGAAAGAAGGAAAGAAGAGGCAUCCGAUGAAUUUCUGCAAAGGCAUUGAUAAUGGCUUUGAGGAAUGAAUAUGGCAGAUGGAUCAAAUCAAAGAAUCAAAUUUCAAAGCUGGAUUGAAAGUCAUGAAGAGGAAGGAUAAGCAGAAAUGAAGGAAAAAGAGAAUUAUAGGAGUCAAAUGAGCAGUUGAUUAUUGAAAAGAGAAUCUUCUGCUGUUUGAAUAAAGACCAAAGGGCUUUCAUUGUUGGCUCCCCACAGGACUGUGCCUUUUUGAGCUGCACAUCCCAAGAUCAAGAAACCAGAAGGAGCUCAGACUUUAACUAAUUAGCACUCAUGAAAAUUUACUAACCGUCAACAGCAAAUUUACUAGGCAAUUUCAUUUCCAAAGCAUGUUGGCACAUAUCACAGGUCUGUUAAAGACUGAGGCUUAAGACAUGGAAACAACCUAAAUGUCCAUCGAGAGAUGAUUGCAUUCAGAAGAUGUGGCAUAUAUACACAAUGGAAUACUACUCAGCCAUCAAAAAG